UAGCCGUAAACGAUACUCGCUAGGUGUCGGCCACGGUGCGACCGUUGUCGGUGCCGUAGGGAAGCCGUGAAGCGAGCCACCUGGGAAGUACGGCCGCAAGGCUGAAACUUAAAGGAAUUGGCGGGGGAGCACAACAACGGGUGGAGCUUGCGGUUUAAUUGGAUUCAACGCCGGAAAUCUUACCGGGACCGACAGCAACAUGAAGGCCAAGCUGAGGACUUUGCCGGAUUAGCUGAGAGGAGGUGCAUGGCGUAGUCGUGU
rnacentral:rRNA from 1 species